UACGAAGGGGCUAGCGUUGCUCGGAAUCACUGGGCGUAAAGCGCACGUAGGCGGAUUGUUAAGUCAGGGGUGAAAUCCUGGAGCUCAACUCCAGAACUGCCUUGAUACUGGCGAUCUCGAGUCCGGGAGAGGUGAGUGGAACUGCGAGUGUAGAGGUGAAAUUCGUAGAUAUCGCAAGAACACCAGUGGCGAAGGCGGCUCACUGGCCCGGUACUGACGCUGAGGUGCGAAAGCGUGGGAGCAACAGG
rnacentral:rRNA from 1 species